AAAUAGCCCUGAUGGAAGUGGCAUCCUCUUGUCUCGUCUUUUGGAUGAGACAAGAGAUAGAGCGGACAGCAGGAGGGAAG
rnacentral:sRNA from 1 species